rnacentral:rRNA from 1 species
ACUCAAAUGAAUUGACGGGGACCCGCACAAGCGGUGGAGCAUGUGGUUUAAUUCGACGGUAAGCGAGGAACCUUACCAGGGUUUGACAUGUAGCUGCAAGCGCACGGAAACGUGUGAUCUUCGAGAGUGCUACACAGGUACUGCACGGUUGUCGUCAGCUCGUGUCGUGAGAUGUUCCCUUAAGUGGGAGAACGAGCGCAACCCCCGUGAUAUGUUGAUUUUCAUAUCAGACUGCCGGCGUUUAAGCUGGAGGAAGGUGGGGAUGACGUCAAAUCAGCGUGGUCUUUACGCCCUGGGCGACACACGUGCUACAAUGGAUAGGAACAAAGGGACGCAACAUCGCAAGAUAGAGCAAAUCCUCUCAAAAACUAUUCUCAGUUCGGAUUGAGGGCUGCAACUCGCCCUCAUGAAGCUGGAAUCGCUAGUAACCGUGAAUCAGCCUCGUCACGGUGAAUACGUUCUCGGGUUUUGUACACACCGCCCGU